AGCAGCCGCGGUAAUUCCAGCUCCAAUAGCGUAUAUUAAAGUUGUUGCAGUUAAAAAGCUCGUAGUUGAAUUUCGGGGUUCAUCCGUUGGUCGGGCUUUUUUGGUCUGUACUGGCGUGAUGGAUUCCUACCUUCUGAAUAACCGGCAUGUCAUUAAUUUGGUGCGCCGGGGAAGCAGGACUGUUACCUUGAAAAAUUAGAGUGCUUAAAGCAGGCUAUCGCCUGAAUACAUUAGCAUGGAAUAAUGAAAUAGGACGGCAUGGUUCUAUUUUGUUGGUUUCUAGGAUCACCGUAAUGAUUAAUAGGGAUAGUUGGGGGCAUUAGUAUUCAAUUGUCAGAGGUGAAAUUCUUGGAUUUAUUGAAGACUAACUUCUGCGAAAGCAUUUGCCAAGGAUGUUUUCAUUAAUCAAGAACGAAAGUUAGGGGAGUCGAAGACGAUCAGAUACCGUCG
rnacentral:rRNA from 1 species